rnacentral:lncRNA from 1 species
UUUCUUUAACAAAUGUGAUGGAUUGGGUAGUUUAAAAUAAGAGAAAAAUUAAUUAAAUGUAUUAUGUAUGUAUUUAUGUAUGUAUGGUUACCGUUGGAGUCAGAGAAAAGGGCCAGAUGAUGGUACCCUGCAGGCUGAGGGGCAGCAAUAAACCAUGAUGGCAAUAGAGGAUCUGAGAUGAUGAGGACAGACACUUGAGCUGAGGAAGCAGUGCUAUCCACUGUCUUCCUCCUCUCAAGGAUGUAGGUAAUGUGGGAAGAUGGAGGGCUGACAGGAGAUGCUUGUAGGUGAUUCUCAGGGAGGUGUCUGAGAAACACUUUCAGCUACUUUCCCAAAGCUAAGUGUUUCCAAAGAUGCUUGAAACAGUUGUGUAGAGAACAGGAUGGACCAAACUGGGAGAUGACUGAGCACUGGAUGACCCUUGUGAUUCUCAGAGUGCUAUGAGGUGAGCCCUCUGUGACAUCACAGGGUAAAUCCCUGCCUUAGUAAUAGCAGACUGCUUAGCCUGAGGAUAACUCAAGAGUCCAGCAAGGAGGGCUGGGAUUCACACUGAGCACAUGUGUCUGCCUCGGCUUGGGCUGUUUUCUGGGAUGGACUACCUGAAAUUCAUCGCGUAUAUGAAUGAUCUCUUUCAACGCCCCGGCCUCAGAAGUAUAGAUUGACAAUGAGAAAAAGCAGAUGAUUGAGUACCAUGGAAUGUCAGAAAAUGAAUGAGAAUUGACAAGGGAAAUAUUGAUUUCCUAGGAACAAUAAACACUAGGCCAGGAAUAAUCAAGUGCAGAAACCCAGGCUCUCAGUGUUCCUUCUAGCACUUUCUCAGGAAUAAUCAAAUUCUGCACCAAAUUCACAAAUUUCUUCUGAAAAAUCCCACAAGAAAUUUGACCAGAAAACAGUAGAUAACACAAGGAUAGGAUGAAAACAUGAAUAACAAGGGAUGAGACAGAGAUAGAGAUGGUAACUGUGUAAGCACUCUGGGACACUUCAUGUGCGAAGGCCAUUCACCUGAAAACGCAAGCACUAGGAGAUUUAGUUAGCACAGAUUAGAGUAAAAUCUAGGAGCUUUGUAAUAUCUGCAAUACCAAAGAAACCAGGUAAUGCAAAUUCUCUACCAGAAUGUUUCUCUGUGAAUAUUCUAACAAUUGUAACAUGCAUGAAAUGAGUAUAAUCCCUAAUCCAUUUACUGACAACAGGAAUUUCUGUAAAACAGAAAUUGGAUAUGCAGGGAAAAAUACAUUGCUGUCAUAAAUUUACAAUACUCAAAACUUGAUGCCCUGGGCAUUUGCAGACAGCAUCAAAUGUGUAAUAAAAAUGGGCAUAGGAAUACAUGAAUUUUCAGGGAGAAAUGAGGACAUUUUUCAAAGUAUGUCACUUCAUGACUCUUACUUGUGACAUACAGGCUGAGUAUCGUUGUCAUUUCUACCAGCAACAGAGCAUAAAUUCCUGCUUCAGUGACAGAUGCUGUACUUUAAGUUCAAAAGGAAGAAAUACAUAAUAUAAAUGUGUGUCCUGGAAUUGUUUUGUCUAAUUGUAUAACAGGAAAAGCACAUCUUCCAUUUCAUGGAGAUUGAACAAGAGCUCAUUCUAGAAUGGGAAGAAUAACCCAUGGGUUUACCUACUUCCACCAUGAAGUCAAUAUGAACACUAGGGCUUCGACUUUAAAUCUUGCAACUGACAUUUCC